rnacentral:rRNA from 1 species
GACAGCAGUCGCCACGGUAAAACGUAGGUGGCAAGCGUUAUCCGGAAUUAUUGGGCGUAAAGCGCGCGUAGGCGGUUUUUUAAGUCUGAUGUGAAAGCCCACGGCUCAACCGUGGAGGGUCAUUGGAAACUGGAAAACUUGAGUGCAGAAGAGGAAAGUGGAAUUCCAUGUGUAGCGGUGAAAUGCGCAGAGAUAUGGAGGAACACCAGUGGCGAAGGCGACUUUCUGGUCUGUAACUGACGCUGAUGUGCGAAAGCGUGGGGAUCAAACAGGAUUAGAUACCCCUGUAGUCCCUGUCUCUUAUAC